rnacentral:rRNA from 1 species
GAUGAACGCUGGCGGCGUGCCUAAUACAUGCAAGUCGAGCGAACGGACGAGAAGCUUGCUUCUCUGACGUUAGCGGCGGACGGGUGAGUAACACGUGGAUAACCUACCUAUAAGACUGGGAUAACUUCGGGAAACCGGAGCUAAUACCGGAUAAUAUUUUGAACCGCAUGGUUCAAAAGUGAAAGACGGUCUUGCUGUCACUUAUAGAUGGAUCCGCGCUGCAUUAGCUAGUUGGUAAGGUAACGGCUUACCAAGGCAACGAUGCAUAGCCGACCUGAGAGGGUGACCGGCCACACUGGAACUGAGACACGGUCCAGACUCCUACGGGAGGCAGCAGUAGGGAAUCUUCCGCAAUGGGCGAAAGCCUGACGGAGCAACGCCGCGUGAGUGAUGAAGGUCUUCGGAUCGUAAAACUCUGUUAUUAGGGAAGAACAUAUGUGUAAGUAACUGUGCACAUCUUGACGGUACCUAAUCAGAAAGCCACGGCUAACUACGUG